GUGGUGCUUCAGGUUAAGAACAGUUUCAGGUUAAGAACGGACCUCCGGUGGUUGAGACAAAAUAAAACUUACACUUCUAUCAUCAUGCCCCCAGUCAAAUUUGUGACUGAAUGUUAAAUUUAUAUGUCAGGAUAGCUCAGCUGAUUAGAGCAUGAUGCUGACACUGCCAAGGUUGCAGGUUUGAUGCCUGUAUGGGACAGCUGCGUAUUCAGGUUGGACGAAACCAUCCUCAGGGUCUCUUCCAACUCUAUAAGGGUUGCCGUAUGUCCGAAAUUUCCCAGACAUAGCUAGAAUACAACAGUUGGAAACAGUGUCUGGGCGGAAAUUGAUUUAAUGUCUGGGAAAAUCCAGACAUUCCAUGUUGGAAGUCUAAAUUUUGGUGAAUUUCCUUAAAAAUAGCUCAAACACUUCGUUUUUAUUUAUUUUUUUGAAGAUUUUCCAAAAAAAGAGAGAAGCUAAACAACUUGCUUAGCCUACUGCUGAUUAAUCUAGCCUUCCUUCACCCCACUUCAAUUCUCUUUUCUCAAUAGCAAGCAUGGUUUAAAUUUGAAUUCCAACCACAAUGUAUCUCUUCAGAAACACUUUUACUCAGAUUAUGCACUACUUACCAUGAACAGCAAAUGCCACGAUCCGUCUGUGGUUUUCCAUCAAAAAGCAUAUGACACCAAGGAAAUUCUUAUAGCCUAAUCCUAUACAUGUUUACUUGCUUGAAAAUCUCAUUGAAUUCAACACAGCUUCUGCCCAACCCAAGUCAGUGUAGCCUCAGUUCUCUACACUAACAGCAAAGUCAUUAUUUGAGUCCUGAUCCUUAUGUAGCCAAAACUGUGCCAUCCACUCACAAAAGGAAGUAUCAGUAGGACUGGUUUUGGAGAAAAAAAUCUGUAGGAAAAUAAACUGAAAGGGCAGGGGGAAACCCAAAAUAUUUCAGUGAGGGCUGAGAGUGUGCCCAGUGAGCAACAGAGGACAGAGCAUCUGUUGGAAGGAGAAAUGAAAAAUUGGGGUGCAAAUGGAGUAUCCUGGAAAGGAACAUGGCUAGCUGUCUGGAACUGAGGCUUAACAGAAACACUCCAAAUUAUUUAAUGUAAUGUGUCAUUUCAAAGCAAUCCUCAGCCUUGAACUCUUUUGUUGUAGGUUGCCCUGACCCUUGGUGACACCUGAGCUCUGAAGCUGAAGGCCACCAGAGGGUCAUGACACCUCUGCCUUAGUAGGUCCACUGUGACACUGAAGAAUGUUCAGGGAAGGUCAGCUUGCAGCUUUCAAACAGGGAUUUGGGCUGGGUGUUCAUCAGUAUGCGGAUGAUACCCAGCUCUACCUGUCUUUUAAAUCAGAACCAGUGAAGGCGGUGAAGGACCUGUGUGAGGGUCUGGAGGUGGUUGGAGGAUUGAUGGCAGCUAACAGAUUGAGAUUGAAUCCUGACAAGACGUAAGUACUGAUUUUGGGGGACAGGAGGCAGGCAGGUGUGGAGGACUCCCUGGUCCUGAAUGGGGUAACUGUUCCCCUGAAGGACCAGGUGUGUAGCCUGGGAGUCAUUUUGGACUCACAGCUGUCCAUGGAGGCACAGGUCAAAUCUGUGUCUACCAGCUCCAGCUAGUACACAGGCUGAGACCCUCCUUGCCAGCAGACUGUCUCGCCAGUGUGGUGUAGUGGUUAAGAGCGGUAGUCACGUAAUCUGGGGAACUGGGUUCGUGUCUCAGCUCCUCCACAUGCAGCUGCUGGGUGACCUUGGGCCAGUCACACUUCUUUGAAGUCUCUCAGCCCCACUCACCUCACAGAGUGUGUGUUGUGGGGGAGGAAGGGAAAGGAGAUUGUUAGCCGCUUUGAGACUCCUGAAGGGGAGUGAAAGGCGGGAUAUCAAAUCCAAACUCUUCUUCUUCUUCUUCGCCAGAGUGCUGCAUGCUCUAGUUAUCUCCUGCUUGGACUACUGCAAUGCGCUCUACAAGGGACUACCUUUGAAGGGGACUCAGAAACUACAAUUAAUCCAGCUAGACUGGGGACUGGGAGUGGCCACCAGGACCAUAUAACACCAGUCCUGAAAGACCUACAUAGGCUCCCAGUACGUUUCCGAGCACAAUUCAAAGUGUUGGUGCUGACCUUUAAAGCCCUAAAUGGCCUCGGCCCAGUAUACCUGAAGGAGGAUCUUCACCCCCAUCGUUCAGCCCGGACAUUGAGGUCCAGCUCCGAGGGCCUUCUAGCGGUUCCCUCCCUGCGAGAAGCGAGGUUACAGGGAACCAGGCAGAGGGCCUUCUCGGUAGUGGUGUCCGCCCUUUGGAAUGCCCUAUCAGAUGUCAAGGAAAUAAUAACUACCUGACUUUUAGAAGACAUCUGAAGGCAGCCUUGUUUAGGGAAGUUUUUAAUGCUUGAUGUUUUAUUGUGUUUUUAAUAUUCUGUUGGGAGCCGCCCAGAGUAGCUGGGGAAACCCAGCCAGAUGGGCGGGGUAAAAGUAAUAUAUUAUUAUUAUUGUUAUUAUUAUUAUUAUUAUUAUUAUUAUUAUUACCUGGAGAUGCCCACCAUGUUUCUUAUGGAGAGAAUAACAUUCCAUAAGAGAAGAGACUGCAAUCAUUAAUUGACUGGCUUCCACUGCUAGCAACAUGUAUGUCUCCAAGUUUAUUACUUUGUGACAAAUGGUUAGUUAACAACUGUCUGGGAAGGGCACGAUAUCAGUAGUACAAUGGGCAUCAUAAUCCUUGUGUUUUCUCUAUGGGGUUCUUGCAUAUCUUGUGACAAAUUAGAGGUAAAUCAUUCCUUGAUUUUAGGGCCUAUACUUGAAUAAAGUAAAGAUUCCUUUAUCUUAUUAUUUUUGCACAGCUCCUAUGAACAUCCAUUUUAACCCAGGGACAUUCACGAUCUCACAUUCAGCGUCUCUCUUUCCUGGUUAAACAAAAUGAGUAUUCCUAAUACAAUUAUUAGCAGAAUGUGGCUCAGUAGUAGAAGGUCCUUGGUUGGAUCUCUGGAAUCUCUGGGGUACGACUCCUGCCUGAAAUUGUGAGCAGCCACUAUUGGUCUGACUUGCAAUAAGGCAGUUUCUUAUGUUCCUACCUUGCCCUGAAAGAAAGUAAGACAGGGAAAAGUCCAGCUGACUCAUUCAACUUAUGUUGGUGAAACAAUUCUUAUCUGCCUUUGUUGACAGGUGGAGGGAACCCCACCAACUGACUCCAAACGGAGGUCAAAACAUGAGAGUUUGCUAUAAAAAUAGAGCACAUCGUGUUCUUUAAUUUCUGCCAAAUGGAGGAAAACCUGGCACCUGCACUUCUUUUGUUUUGAGAGCAAAAGUGUAAAUCAGAUUUUAAAAAAGGAAGUCAGCAGCAAAACCUGUUGUAAGUAUCAUGGAAGGCUUAAAGGGCGUACCAGUCAGGAAGAUGGACAAUAACUUUCUGUAUCACACGCAACAGCAGAAUAGAUACAGAAAACAAAGUCCAGUGCCAUCUAGUGACUAAACGAUAUAAUGACGCUAUCCACGUAAUAUAUCCACUCUUUCUCUCCAAGUGACACUCAACCUAAAAAGGCUGGGCUGAACCUGAACUUCCUACUGAUUCAGAUAUUUAAACACUAUAUUGGAUCGGCUCCUUUUCAUGCUUGUUUUAGUAGAUCACUGGACAACAUUUCAAGGCCUUGCUUUCUGCUGGAUAAAUGGGACUUGUAACUCAGUGCGUUAGUCCAAAAUCAAGUGCCAAAUGGUCAGCUCCUAAGAACAUCUACUGCAUCCAGAAUUUGGUGGUGGCAUCCAGAAUUUGGCUGAUUUCCUCCUUUCCAUUCUACUAUAUCAUGUGCUGCUUUUUCUCUCCUUAAACACUCACUCACUCACUCACUCCCAGUGUACCUGAGAGUUGCUCCACACAUAUCGGACCACCACCUGAUGACUUACAGUUGAACAGAACAAGGUGACAUUAACAUUCUAUGUUUAAAUGUGUGGAACAUUGCAAUUUCAGGGGGAAAAAUAUUUAGUUUAAAAUUAAUUCAAGGCAAAGUGCAACCUUUGGAUUUUUGUGAAGUGUGGUGGAAUUUUAUACAAUAUGCU